UACACUCCUGCGGGAGGCAGCAGUGAGGAAUAUUGGACAAUGGGUGGAAGCCUGAUCCAGCCAUCCCGCGUGCAGGAAGACGGCCCUAUGGGUUGUAAACUGCUUUUAUCUGGGGAUAAACCUACUUACGUGUAAGUAGCUGAAGGUACCAGAAGAAUAAGCACCGGCUAACUCCGUGCCAGCAGCCGCGGUAAUACGGAGGGUGCAAGCGUUAUCCGGAUUUAUUGGGUUUAAAGGGUCCGUAGGCGGACUGAUAAGUCAGUGGUGAAAUCCGACAGCUUAACUGUCGAACUGCCAUUGAUACUGUUAGUCUUGAGUAAGGUUGAAGUGGCUGGAAUAAGUAGUGUAGCGGUGAAAUGCAUAGAUAUUACUUAGAACACCAAUUGCGAAGGCAGGUCACUAAGUCUUAACUGACGCUGAUGGACGAAAGCGUGGGGAGCGAACAGGAUUAGAAACCCGAGUAGUCCCAUG
rnacentral:rRNA from 1 species